rnacentral:rRNA from 1 species
GAUGAACGCUGGCGGCGUGCUUAACACAUGCAAGUCGAACGAAGCAUUUAAGACAGAUUACUUCGGUUUGAAGUCUUUUAUGACUGAGUGGCGGACGGGUGAGUAACGCGUGGGUAACCUGCCUCAUACAGGGGGAUAGCAGCUGGAAACGGCUGGUAAUACCGCAUAAGCGCACAGUACCACAUGGUACAGUGUGAAAAACUCCGGUGGUAUGAGAUGGACCCGCGUCUGAUUAGCUUGUUGGCGGGGUAACGGCCCACCAAGGCGACGAUCAGUAGCCGACGUGGGAGGGGGACCGGCCACUGUGGGACUGAGACACGGCCCGGACUCCUACGGGGGGCAGCAGUGGGGAAUAUUGCACAAUGAAGGAAACUCUGAUGCAGCGACGCCGGGGGAGUGAAGAAGUAGUUCGCUAUGUAAAGCUCUAUCAGCAGGGAAGAUAGUGACGGUACCUGACUAAGAAGCUCCGGCUAAGUACGUG